UACGUAGGUGCCCAGCGUUGUCCGGAUUUACUGGGCGUAAAGAGCGCGCAGGCGGUCGUUCAAGUCGAGUGUGAAAGCCCCCGGCUCAACUGGGGAGGGUCAUUCGAUACUGAUCGACUGGAAGGCAGGAGAGGGAAGCGGAAUUCCCGGUGUAGUGGUGAAAUGCGUAGAUAUCGGGAGGAACACCAGUGGCGAAGGCGGCUUCCUGGCCUGUUCUUGACGCUGAGGCGCGAAAGCUAGGGGAGCAAACGGG
rnacentral:rRNA from 1 species